rnacentral:tRNA from 1 species
AAUAUAAUGCCUGAUUCAAAAGGAUAGCUUUGAUAGAGCUAAUAAUGUAAAUUAUUUUACUUAUAUUA